rnacentral:rRNA from 1 species
CACGUAGGGGGCGAGCGUUGUCCGGAUUUAUUGGGCGUAAAGAGCUCGUAGGCGGUUUCGUAAGUCGGAUGUGAAAACUCCAGGCUCAACUUGGAGACGCCAUUCGAUACUGCGAUGACUUGAGUCCGGUAGGGGAGUGUGGAAUUCCUGGUGUAGCGGUGGAAUGCGCAGAUAUCGGGAAGAACACCCGUGGCGAAGGCGGUUCUCUGGGACGGUACUGACGCUGAGACGCGAAAGCGUGGGGAGCGAACAGG